UACAGGGGGUGCAAACGUUGCUCGGAAUCACUGGGCGUAAAGCGCACGUAGGCGGAUUGUUAAGUCAGGGGUGAAAUCCUGGAGCUCAACUCCAGAACUGCCUUUGAUACUGGCGAUCUUGAGUCCGGGAGAGGUGAGUGGAACUCCGAGUGUAGAGGUGAAAUUCGUAGAUAUUGGGAGGAACACCGGUGGCGAAGGCGGCUCUCUGGACCGGUACUGACGCUGAGACGCGAAAGCCAGGGGAGCAAACGGG
rnacentral:rRNA from 1 species